UACGUAGGGUGCGAGCGUUGUCCGGAAUUACUGGGCGUAAAGAGCUCGUAGGUGGUUUGUCGCGUUGUUCGUGAAAACUCACAGCUCAACUGUGGGCGUGCGGGCGAUACGGGCAGACUGGAGUACUGCAGGGGAGACUGGAAUUCCUGGUGUAGCGGUGGAAUGCGUAGAUAUCUGGAGGAACACCGGUGGCGAAGGCGGCAUCCUGGACCGGCAUUGACGCUGAGGCGCGAAAGCCAGGGGAGCAAACGGG
rnacentral:rRNA from 1 species